CUAGAGGAAGUAAAAGUCGUAACAAGGUCUCCGUUGGUGAACCAGCGGAGGGAUCAUUACUGAGUUACCGCUCUAUAACCCUUUGUGAACAUACCUACAACUGUUGCUUCGGCGGGUAGGCCGUCCCCUGAAAAGGACGCCUCCCGGCCCGGACCGGACCCCCCGCGGGACCGGACCCGGCGCCCGCCGGAGGAUAACCAAACUCUAUUGUAACGACGUUUCUUCUGAGUGGCAUAAGCAAAAUAAUCAAAACUUUUAACAACGGAUCUCUUGGUUCUGGCAUCGAUGAAGAACGCAGCGAAAUGCGAUAAGUAAUGUGAAUUGCAGAAUUCAGUGAAUCAUCGAAUCUUUGAACGCACAUUGCGCCCGCCAGCAUUCUGGCGGGCAUGCCUGUUCGAGCGUCAUUUCAACCCUCAAGCUCUGCUUGGUGUUGGGGCUCUACGGUCGACGUAGGCCCUAAAAGGUAGUGGCGGACCCUCCCGGAGCCUCCUUUGCGUAGUAACAUUUCGUACUCGCACUGGGAUCCGGAGGGACUCUUGCCGUAAAAACCCACCAAAUUUUACCAAAAGGUUGACCUCGGAUCAGGUAAGGAAUACCCGUGAAACUUAGCAUAU
rnacentral:rRNA from 1 species